UGGGGAAUUUUGGACAAUGGGGGCAACCCUGAUCCAGCCAUGCCGCGUGAGUGAAGAAGGCCUUCGGGUUGUAAAGCUCUUUCGGCGGGGACGAAACGGUCCGUGACAACACCACGGACUAAUGACAGUACUCGCAGAAGAAGCACCGGCUAACUACGUGCCAGCAGCCGCGGUAAUACGUAGGGUGCAGGCGUUAAUCGGAAUUACUGGGCGUAAAGCGUGCGCAGGCGGCUCCUUAAGUCAGAUGUGAAAUCCCUGGGCUUAACCUGGGAACUGCGUUUGAAACUGAGGGGCUAGAGUGUGGAAGAGGGGGGUGGAAUUCCAGGUGUAGCAGUGAAAUGCGUAGAGAUCUGGAGGAACACCGAUGGCGAAGGCAGCCCCCUGGGCUAACACUGACGCUCAUGCACGAAAGCGUGGGGAGCAAACAGGAUUAGAUACCCACGUAGUCCCUGAGCGGGCUGGCAAGGCGCAU
rnacentral:rRNA from 1 species